GUAAAUAAUGGGUAUAAAGGUAUUGAGCCGUAUAAAGCAUCUCCCACUUCAGAGACUUAAAGUCGAACGUGUCAUUGUAUUGCCAGCGCAGUUUGAGUGUAUUCCGAAUCAUCUAUAAUUGGUUCGUUUGCACAAAAUCUAUCAAAAUCGAUAUCAAAAUGCGCUUUUAAAACAUAUUUCGGAGCUUAUAAUACUUAGAGUAACCAAAUUUGGUAUGCAGAUUCUCGCAUUCCCCAAAAAUUAAAAUUAAAAAUCCUUUUUUUUUUAGAGGCAAAGUGUUGAGCUUUAGUACUUACUCACAUUUGGAUGCGAUAUCUAUGACUUCGCAAUCACGUCCGGCAACACCCAGAACUCAUUCUCAUCUUCUUUUGCGGCAGUUGCCGCUGGGGUCAAAGUAACACAGUAUUAAGGUUGCGAGAGCGCAGAGCUGACGAAGUAAACGACGCUCAGAAAUGGGAGCAAGUAGAUGAGAAUAAAAGGAAAGAAAUUCUUGCUUGGACCAAUAAGCGUUAAGCAACAAAAAUAUCGUGUGAUCGCACGUAGAUAACGCGAAGGCAUGCACACACACACACACACACACACAAGUAAGUGUAUGCACAAAGAAGUGAAUUCUGCUUCAAAUCGUUCGCCUUCUCUGUUUUCUGUGCGCCGUUUUUCGUCUACCUUGUGUGUCAAUGCAUUCGUAAAUAUCGCACAAGCACACAUACAUAUGCAUAUGUACAUACAUAAAUAUUUUGCGAUUCUGUCUGCCUACACUUGUUUGUAGGUGUGUCUGCUUGUUCGUUAUCUAUUUAUGCAUGAGUGUAUGGGCUUAUGCUGUAAAAACGAAUUCCUCUUGUGUUCGUUCGUUUGCUUGCUGAAUUUUCUGUGCGCCGCUUUUUCGUCUGCCUUGCACAGUUGCUUCGCAUUCUUUAUUAGUUUAGCUUCAAUGGUCAAUAUGAUGUGUUUUUAUAUUGCAAGUUAUAGUCGUUUAAAGGUAUUUUUCGGGACUACGGCGCGGAUAUAGCGAAGGUCUGCGCCUACUUGGGUACUCAAUAAUUCUUCCUUUAAACCUGCGAACAGGAUGGAAUCUUUAGCUUUGCCUGCAUUAACACCACACCAAGCAGCUCGCUGAGAUACAAGUGCAUUUUCGUUCGCCCCGCGACUGAAAUUUUACCAAGUCCAUGUUUCUUAGAUGACCCCAUAAUGUUUUGAUGCAGAUCGAUGCAGUUGGUCCUCACGACCAUAACGCAGCAUGUCCUUUGAAAAUCUGCAAGGAUACGGCGGAAUAGACGAAUUCAAAGACUGCGAUCGAUUCUAAGGACAUCUAGGCAAUCUUUUCCAGGAUCAGACUCGAUUUACCCCAAAUACAACCAGAAUUAAGAA